rnacentral:rRNA from 1 species
CCUACGGGAGGCAGCAGUGAGGAAUAUUGGACAAUGGAGGCAACUCUGAUCCAGCCAUGCCGCGUGCAGGAAGACGGUCCUAUGGAUUGUAAACUGCUUUUAUACAGGAAGAAACCACUCUACGUGUAGAGUCUUGACGGUACUGUAAGAAUAAGCACCGGCUAACUCCGUGCCAGCAGCCGCGG